AAUUUUCCUCAUUAUUUCAGAAGUGAUAUUAACAUUGUCCCCUUGUCUGUGUCUUUUAUUUUUGCUUCGUGUAGUUGGUCGGCUCAUUGUACCACCGACCUAUUCUUCGUUUCGAUUUAACUCUACUAGCUCGGAGUUUGAGAGUACUCUUUGAGAAAGAAUUGCAGUGUAUGUAGAAACUGAUCGUCCACUAACACAAACAAAAUCAAUUAAUGCAUUAAAAAAGAAAAAGAAACUUACUCCAAGAAAUGAAGACGGAAGACGAAAAGAAGAAUUGAUUUAAAAACCCUGAAGAACCAGAUAGGGACGCGAAAGGAGAUGAGAGAGAAAAACACCGAUUUUCAAGAAAAAAGAAAAUCGAGGAGAAGCGAUUGUGAUGGGGAACUGGUAAAGAGAAAAAA
rnacentral:misc_RNA from 1 species